UCUUUGGUGGUCCUGUGGCUAAGACUUUGUACUUCCAUUGUAAGGGGCAUAGGUUCGAUUCCUGGUCAGAGAA
rnacentral:tRNA from 1 species